GUGUCUUUAGUCUAAUGGAUAAGACACAUGACUCCUAAUCAUGGAAUGACAGUUCGACUCUGUCAAGACACA
rnacentral:tRNA from 1 species